rnacentral:lncRNA from 1 species
AGUAUAUAAUAAAGGUAGUAGUGAUGAGUGGCAAGUAAAGAGGGGGAAAGGCAUGUGAAGAGAAAAAUAGCAGUGAAUAGAAGAGCUUGAAGCGGCGAAAAUGGAGAAAGGAAACAUGUGGAAAACGAAAACACUGAUCCAAAUUAAAACAUGAUGGGAUUAAUAUAGUUUUCAAUCUGAAACUAAAAUUCCCUUCUCUGUUUGGCUGCUCGCUCCUCUUCAUCUCUCUCUCUAUCUCUCUCUUUCUACAUAUAUAUAUCUAUCUAUGUCUCGCUGAGGCACACACAUUCUCUCUCUCUCUCUCUCUCUCUCUAUUUCUCUGUGCUAUUCAGAUCUUCAAUGGCUUCCCCCUCGACCUGAUGAUGAUUCUACACUCUGAAGGUUCAAUAUUUUAAUUAUUUUUUAAUUUUCAUUUUUCUGUUAUUAGACCUUAAUUUGAAUGUUCAGAUCUGCUCUUUUUUUUCUUUUCGAAUUUCUCAGUCUAUUAGAGUAUUUUUGUGUCAAUUUACUCUUGAUAAAGAAUUUUCUUCGAAAACUUUUAUAUGACUAAUAUUUGUUGAAAAUAGAUUAGUAUUUUUUAUUUUGCCUCUUGUGAAACUACUAAUUGUAACAUGGUUAAGCUUAGCAAGCAAUUGCCAUUAUUAGUAUUUAUAUUUUUGUCAAAAUUUUAAGCAUUUUCCUCUGUUUAAAAAAUAAAUAAAUUAAAACUAGUGUAAUUGACUGGCCUGAUAAAAGUUGUCUUACUACUAACCGAACCUACAGGUAGUCCCGAGGGGGCGGCAUCCUCUAUAAUAGUUAGUCGUACUGGACAAGUGAGCAUCGGUCA